AAAGCCACACUUAGCCAAGAAUGGAAUUGCCGGCUACAAAGAAGAAGAAGUUGUCUAUACAUUAUUAUAUCAUAAACUAAGAUCAAAUAUAUAUUGAUGCAUUGCCGGCAAUUCAUCCUUGGCUUAGUAGUCCUCUCU
rfam:Cucumis melo, WGS project CAJI01000000 data, contig: 01889